rnacentral:rRNA from 1 species
GCAGAGCAUCCUACGGGGCAGCAGUGGGGAAUAUUGCACAAUGGGCGCAAGCCUGAUGCAGCCAUGCCGCGUGUAUGAAGAAGGCCUUCGGGUUGUAAAGUACUUUCAGCAGUGAGGAAGGUGGGUAUGUUAAUAGCAUACUCAUUUGACGUUAGCUGCAGAAGAAGCACCGGCUAACUCCGUGCCAGCAGCCGCGGUAAUACGGAGGGUGCGAGCGUUAAUCGGAAUUACUGGGCGUAAAGCGCAUGCAGGUGGUUUGUUAAGUCAGAUGUGAAAGCCCGGGGCUCAACCUCGGAAUUGCAUUUGAAACUGGCAAACUAGAGUACUGUAGAGGGGGUAGAAUUUCAGGUGUAGCGGUGAAAUGCGUAGAGAUCUGAAGGAAUACCGGUGGCGAAGGCGGCCCCCUGGACAGAUACUGACACUCAGAUGCGAAAGCGUGGGGAGCAAACAGGAUUAGAUACCCUGGUAG